rnacentral:pre_miRNA from 1 species
UUAACUAAAAUUUGCAUGGACGUUUGCCUACGUUUGCCGCUAGGGGCGCUGUUCCAACUGCAUACAAAUUUGAAUUA